UCAGAUGGCGACUGGCCAGGAACAAAGCAGCUUUAAUUAGGUCGCCGUGCGCCGCAGACUGAGAAUAAUUUCGUUAAUAAGGAAACGGGAGUCCGCGGAGGGAGCGGGGCGACCUUCCCCGGUGGAAGGCGAUCGAGAAGCGCCGUUCCAUGUAGGUCGCGGAAGAUGAAUGUGGCUCCAAUAAUUGGGACUUGACUUUCUGACGCAAGACUUUCACCUGGCAAUGAGUUCAUCGCUUUCCCUGCAGGAGCGCCUCGAUGACAUUUUCCGAGCAUCGUGAAAAUGCCUGUGCUCGUCCACCAGGUGGAGUAUGCGUUCAACGUUCAGAUCCGCCAUCUUGAUCCUCCCAAAAACAAGCACGCCGACCUGUGCAGCGUUAAUUGCCAGCUUCGUGGCUGUGAGCAAACGUUCCAAAGAUCAGUGAUUCGUGCACGGAGAAAAAUGAAAACGCGUCAGCAGUUCGGCUUCAACCAUCGGAAAUGUGCAAUUUCAGCAGACAAAUCACUGUGUCGAGGAGGAACUCAGCGGGUUGAGGGGUACAUUCGGUGACCCGGAAGUACAAUCACUGUCCUCAAGCUUCACAGCACCUUACACUGCAUUGACGAGGUACAGCAACGUGAACGGCAGAUGGCGCCGUGGAGUCGGAAUCCCGCACAGCAGCACUUGCUCAAGAGCAAAGGGAAAGAACUCGGCAGUUGCACUCACGGUGACGAAAAGAAAAAGGCGAUUUUCAGAGUGAGGACCGUACUGGAUAUUUUUAUAUGAAUAUGAGUUUAUAAAAAAAAAAAAAAAAAGUCACGCUCUCAGGAAACACUGAAUUAACGCAAAAAAAUAAAAACGCAGAAAUGUAUGUAAGAAAAAAAAUGUCUGUUAAACAAAGUGUCAACUAAGUUAUAACACGGAGAAAAUCAAUAAAAAUACUACCAAAUAAAACCACCA